AAGUUAAAUAAUAGUAUGUCUUGAAAACAUAAUUCUGAAAUUAAUUUUUUAUUAACUUU
rnacentral:tRNA from 1 species